rnacentral:misc_RNA from 1 species
CAAAGAGGCACUUAAGAGACAGUGGUUGCCAGGCAUGAAAUGGAGUGCUGUAACUGCAUUUGUGUGCUCGGAGAAUGUUACAAAGCAGAAACCGGAUGAAACAGUCCAGACCUUAAUUUUGUUGUCAUCUGCUCCUGUGGCCACGAGCUGAGAAUCUGGUGAAUAUGCAAGGCAGUUUACAUCAAAAUAGUGUCCCUGUUGUUUCAG